rnacentral:rRNA from 2 species
CCAAUAGCGUAUAUUAAAGUUGUUGCAGUUAAAAAGCUCGUAGUUGAACUUCGGGGUUUACUCAUUGGUCAGGCUUAAUUGUCUGUACUGGUGAGAUGAAUCUCUACCUUCUGAGGAACUUUCAUGCCAUUUAUUUGGUGUGAUUGGAAAUCAGGACUGUUACUUUGAAAAAAUUAGAGUGUUUAAAGCAGGCUAACGUCUGAAUACAUUAGCAUGGAAUAAUGAAAUAGGACGGAUUGAUUCUAUUUCGUUGGUUUCUAGGGUCACCGUAAUGAUUAAUAGGGAUAGUUGGGGGCAUUAGUAUUCAAUUGUCAGAGGUGAAAUUCUUGGAUUUAUUGAAGACUAACUACUGCGAAAGCAUUUGCCAAGGAUGUUUUCAUUAAUCAAGAACGAAAGUUAGGGGAUCGAAGACGAUCAGAUACCGUCGUAGUCUUAACCAUAAACUAUGCCGACUAGGGAUCGGACGAAGUUAAUUAAUAAUGACGCGUUCGGCACCUUACG